rnacentral:rRNA from 1 species
GGGUUAUUAAGUUGUUGCAGUUAAAAGCUCGCCCUUGGAUUUCGGAAGGUCCUUAGCAGUCCGCCCCUUCGGGGAGCGGGUUGCUGGCCUCCUAUGUUCCUAACGGUCCUCAUCCGCGAGGGUGGGGAAUCAACCGCUAGGAUCGUUUACUUUGAGGAAAUUAGAGUGUUCAAAGCAGGGCGUAACUCGCCUCCGGAAUACGUUAGCAUGGGAUAAUGGAAUACGACUUCGUCUUGUUUCGUUGGUUUCGCUUGGCUGAAGUAAUGAUUGAUAGGGACAGUUGGGGGCAUUAGUAUUUAGUUGUCAGAGGUGAAAUUCUAGGAUUUACUAAAGACUGACCAAUGCGAAAGCAUUUGCCAAGGAUGUUUUCAUUAAUCAAGAACGAAAGUAGGGGGAUCGAAGACGAUCAGAUACCGUCGUAGUCUCUACCGUAAACUAUGCCGACCAGGGAUCCGGAGAGUUUGCAUGGAUGACUCCCCGGGCACCUUGUGAGAAAUCAUAAGUGUUUGGGUUUUGGGGGGAGUAUGGUCGCAAGGCUGAAACUUAAAGGAAUUGACGGAAGGGCACCACCAGGAGUGGAACCUGCGGCUUAAUUUGACUCAACACGGGGAAACUUACGAGGUCAGGACACUGUGAGGAUUGACAGAUUGAAAGCUCUUUCUUGAUUCAGUGGGUGGUGGUGCAUGGCCGGUGGGUAGUUGGUGGAGUGAUUUGUCUGUUAU